GGAGGAAAGCAGGGGAUCGUAAGACCUUGCGCUUUUGGAGUGGCCGAUGCCUGAUUAGCUAGUUGGUGGGGUAAGAGCCUACCAAGGCGACGAUCAGUAGUUGGUCUGAGAGGACGACCAGCCACACUGGGACUGAGACACGGCCCAGACUCCUACGGGAGGCAGCAGUGGGGAAUUUUGGACAAUGGGCGGAAGCCUGAUCCAGCAAUGCCGCGUGAGUGAAGAAGGCCUUCGGGUUGUAAAGCUCUUUCAGUCGAGAAGAAAAGGUUGCGACUAAUAAUCGCAACUUAUGACGGUAUCGACAGAAGAAGCACCGGCUAACUACGUGCCAGCAGCCGCGGUAAUACGUAGGGUGCGAGCGUUAAUCGGAAUUACUGGGCGUAAAGGGUGCGCAGGCGGCUCUGUAAGUCAGAUGUGAAAUCCCCGGGCUUAACCUGGGAAUU
rnacentral:rRNA from 1 species